UACGAAGGGUGCAAGCGUUAAUCGGAAUUACUGGGCGUAAAGCGUGCGUAGGCGGUUUGUUAAGUCUGUUGUGAAAUCCCCGGGCUCAACCUGGGAAUGGCAAUGGAUACUGGCAAGCUAGAGUGUGUCAGAGGAUGGUGGAAUUCCCGGUGGAGCGGUGAAAUGCGUAGAGAUCGGAAAGAACACCAACGGCGAAAGCACUCUGCUGGGCCGACACUGACACUGAGAGACGAAAGCUAGGGGAGCGAAUGGG
rnacentral:rRNA from 1 species